UAACAUUUUAGCUCAAUUUAGUUACAUUUAUUACUAUUUCUAUGAUCCAAUUUAGAGUUACAGAAAACUGGUUUAUUGACGGGAAACACCAACAACCUAAGCUUCUGAUUUUCGUUAAAAAUUCAAUACUACUUAGAAUAUUAUGAAAACUUCCAUAAUAUUAUUAGACACAUAAACGCACAACAUAUAAAAUUUUCAAGCCAUUUGGACAACUCUAUAAUAGGUUCUCACAGGAUUGAACUAAACAAAUCAAAAAUGCCUUUUUAAUUCACACAAAAACAGCUGAGCAUUGUUUAUUUAUUAAAAUUUAAAAUACUCAAUAUGUUGGGAUGAUAAUUCCCAGAACAUAAUUACACAUAUAACUCUCUGAUAUCAUUAAGCUAAUGUUUCAUAAGAUCAAACACAAGUGAACAGUUCUGUCAAGGGGUUUACGGCUAAAGCUGUAGAGUUUGAAAAAAAAAAAAAUUCAAUUACCAUGGAAUUUUCCACAUUUAAAAUAGACAUAUUGAAGUUUAAUAUCUCAAAAUUUUGUCUCAUUUCGACGCCAUUAGAUUAUUCGUUUAUAACACCAAACAUGGUACAUACACAGUUUCUGAUAAAUUCCAACAGCAACUGACCAAUUUGACGAAUCCAUUAUAAAUCAACUAUUAGUUCAAUUCAUUCCAAAAUGUCCAGACUCGAAAGAUACAAUACUCAAAAUUUGAAGCAAAUCAAGCAUCAUUUAGUCAUAUUUCGAAACAAUCAAAGUUAUGAUAACAGUCCAACAAUCUUUAAAUUUUCUGGAGAAUCAAUAAACUAUUUAUC
rnacentral:lncRNA from 1 species